GGAGGCGUACCCAAGUGGCUGAAGGGAUCGGUCUUGAAAACCGACAG
rnacentral:tRNA from 1 species